rnacentral:rRNA from 1 species
GAUGAACGCUGGCGGCGUGCCUAAUACAUGCAAGUCGAGCGAACAGACCAGGAGCUUUCUCCUCUGGCGUUGGCGGCCGACGGGAGAGUCACACAUGGAUAGCCUAACUAUCAGACUGGGGUAACUUCGGGAAACCGUGUCUACUACCGGAUAAUAUAUUGCACCGCAUGGUGCACUCGUGAAAUUAGGUUUUUCUUUGACUAAUAGCUGACUAAGCGCCGCAUUCGCUAGUUGGUACGGUAAAUGCUUAGCAACGCAACGAUUCGUACCCGACCCGAGAGGGUGAUUGGACACAUGGUCACUGAGACUCAGCCCAGACACCUACGGUAGGAAGCAGUAGGGAAUCUUCCGCAAUGGGCCAAAGCCUAACGGAGCACCGUCGCGUGAGUGAUGAUGGUCUACGGCUCGUAAAACUCUGUUAUUAGGGAAGAAGAAAUGUGUAAUUAACUAUGCACGUCUUGACGGUACCUAAUCAGAAAGCCACGGCUAACUCCGUG